rnacentral:rRNA from 1 species
ACUCCUACGGGAGGCAGCAGUAGGGAAUCUUCCACAAUGGGCGCAAGCCUGAUGGAGCAACACCGCGUGAGUGAAGAAGGGUUUACGGGCUCGUAAAGCUCUGUUGUUAAAGAAGAAACGAACGUAAUGAGAGUAACUGUUCAUACGUUGACGGUAUUUAACCAGAAAGUCACGGCUAACUACGUGCCAGCAGCGCGGUAAUACGUAGGUGGCAAGCGUUAUCCGGAUUUAUUGGGCGUAAAGAGAGUGCAGGCGGUUUUCUAAGUCUGAUGUGAAAGCCUUCGGCUUAACCGGAGAAGUGCAUCGGAAACUGGAUAACUUGAGUGCAGAAGAGGGUAGUGGAACUCCAUGUGUAGCGGUGGAAUGCGUAGAUAUAUGGAAGAACACCAGUGGCGAAGGCGGCUACCUGGUCUGCAACUGACGCUAC